rnacentral:misc_RNA from 1 species
GAACGCAUAUUGCGCUCUUUGGUAUUCCGAAGAGCAUGCUUGUUUGAGUAUCAGUAAACACCUCAAAGCUUUUGAUUUUUUUUAAAAGUUUUGGACUUGAGCAAUCCCAACACCAAUCUUUUUCAGAUCGGCGGCGGGUUGCUUGAAAUGCAGGUGCAGCUGGACAUUCUCCUGAGCUAAAAGCAUAUUUAUUUAGUCCCGUCAAACGGAUUAUUACUUUUGCUGCAGCUAAUAUAAAGGGAGUUUGACCGUAUUGGCUGACUGAUGCAGGAUUUCACAAGGGUCGGCAACGAUUCUUGUAAAACUCGAUCUCAAAUCAAGUAAGACUACCCGCUGAACUUAAG